rnacentral:rRNA from 1 species
CCUACGGGUGGCAGCAGUGGGGAAUAUUGGGCAAUGGGCGCAAGCCUGACCCAGCAACGCCGCGUGAAGGAAGAAGGCUUUCGGGUUGUAAACUUCUUUUCUGAGGGACGAAGAACGUGACGGUCCCUCAGGAAUAAGCCAUGGCUAACUACGUGACCGCAGCCGCGGUAAUACGGAGGUGGCAAGCGUUAUGCGGAUUUAUUGGGUGUAAAGGGCGUGGAGGCGGGAAAGCAAGUCAGAUGUGAAAACUCAGGGCUCAACCCUGAGCCUGCAUUUGAAACUGUUUGUCUUGAGUGCUGGAGAGGCAAUCGGAAUUCCGGGUGUAGCGGUGAAAUGCGUAGAUAUACGGAGGAACACCAGUGGCGAAGGCGGAUUGCUGGACAGUAACUGACGCUGAGGCGCGAAAGCGUGGGGAGCAAACAGGAUUAGAUACCCGGGUAGUC